GAUGAACGCUGGCGGCGUGCCUAAUACAUGCAAGUCGAGCGAACAGAUAAGGAGCUUGCUCCUUUGACGUUAGCGGCGGACGGGUGAGUAACACGUGGGUAACCUAUCUAUAAGACUGGAAUAACUCCGGGAAACCGGGGCUAAUGCCGGAUAACAUGUUGAACCGCAUGGUUCUACAGUGAAAGGCGGCUUUGCUGUCACUUAUAGAUGGACCCGCGCCGUAUUAGCUAGUUGGUGAGGUAACGGCUCACCAAGGCAACGAUACGUAGCCGACCUGAGAGGGUGAUCGGCCACACUGGAACUGAGACACGGUCCAGACUACUACGGGAGGCAGCAGUAGGGAAUCUUCCGCAAUGGGCGAAAGCCUGACGGAGCAACGCCGCGUGAGUGAUGAAGGUCUUCGGAUCGUAAAACUCUGUUAUUAGGGAAGAACAAAUGCGUAAGUAACUGUGCGCGUCUUGACGGUACCUAAUCAGAAAGCCACGGCUAACUACGUG
rnacentral:rRNA from 1 species